rnacentral:rRNA from 1 species
CCUACGGGAGGCAGCAGUGGGGAAUAUUGCACAAUGGGCGCAAGCCUGAUGCAGCAACGCCGCGUGAGGGACGAAGGCCUUCGGGUUGUAAACCUCUUUUAGCAGGGAAGAAGCGAAAGUGACGGUACCUGCAGAAAAAGCACCGGCUAACUACGUGCCAGCAGCCGCGGUAAUACGUAGGGUGCAAGCGUUGUCCGGAAUUAUUGGGCGUAAAGAGCUCGUAGGCGGUUUGUCGCGUCUGCUGUGAAAACCCGAGGCUCAACCUCGGACCUGCAGUGGGUACGGACAGACUAGAGUGCGGUAGGGGAGAUUGGAAUUCCUGGUGUAGCGGUGGAAUGCGCAGAUAUCAGGAGGAACACCGAUGGCGAAGGCAGAUCUCUGGGCCGUAACUGACGCUGAGGAGCGAAAGCAUGGGGAGCAAACAGGCUUAGAUACCCUGGUAGUCCAUGCCGUAAACGUUGGGAACUAGAUGUGGGGACCAUUCCACGGUCUCCGUGUCGUAGCUAACGCAUAAGUUCCCGCCUGGGNGACGCGCGAGACGAACGUAACGUAAGUAGUAGUUGNGUAGAGAGCGACGACGACGACGAGGAGGAGAG